GGAUUAGGUGUCAUUUUUCACAAACUUUACGAAUAGAAGUUCUUAUUUUCAUAUUUGUCAUUCCUUAUCUUAAUUCGAAAUCUACUAGGAAGAAAAUAAGUUUCCAAAUUAAUGAGUACAACACUUUGGAGUGUGCUAUGAAUUUUUUGCUUAAAGAAACCAAUCAAUGUGUUUCUGUGCAUUCUGCACGUGCAAGAGGGAAAUGAAAAUUUCUAGGCGUGUAAGUUGCGAAUAGUGUGUAAAUAAACUUGAAGCAAAAUCGAAGCCAUGAUAUUCCUUGACCUAUGAAAUAAUUAAGAACUAGCAAUCCCUUGACCUAAGAAAUAAUUCAAGCAGAAUAGUAUUUUUAUAAACACUAAGAAACAAUUAAAAGCAAAAUAGUUUGGACAUAUAAAGUAUUAAGAACCAACAAUUCAUAGACUUCCCGCAUUUUUGAUUUUAAACACAAUACUUGCUAUCAUUCUUGAACGACUAUUGAAAGAGAGCUACUUAGCUCCCUCGAGAAUCUAUGCUGAAGAAGUUUAUUUUUGCUCAAACUCCAUCAAAAAUUCAAAACGUAUCUUUCACCUCCAGCAUUCAUCUAAUCUAUACCAACGUUCUAAUGACAACAAUGAAAGGAAACAUAAAUUAAUUUUGCAUAUGGAUAUUUGAGCGAAAUCUAGAAAAUAACAUUAGCCCUU
rnacentral:lncRNA from 1 species